AUCGAACGCUGGCGGCAGGCCUAACACAUGCAAGUCGAGCGAGCGGCGGACGGGUGAGUAAUGUAUGGGGACUGCCUGAUCGAUGGGGAUAACUACUGGAAACGGUGGCUAAUACCGCAUACUGUCGGCUCACCCACAUGGGAUUAGCUGGUAGGUAAGGUAAUGGCUUACAUAGGCGACUAUCCCUCGCUGGUCUGAGAGGAUGAUCAGCCACAAUGGGACUGAUGCACGGCCCAGACUCCUACGGAGGCAGACGUGGGGAAUAUUGCACAAUGGGCGCAAGCUAGAUGCAGCCAUGCCGCGUGUAUGAAGAAGGCCCUAGGGUUGUAAAGUACUUUCAGUCGGGAGGCGUUACCGACAGAAGAAGCAGCGGCUAACUCCGUGCCAGCAGCCGCGGUAAUAC
rnacentral:rRNA from 1 species